rnacentral:rRNA from 1 species
AGCAGCCGCGGUAAUUCCAGCUCCAAUAGCGUAUAUUAAAGUUGCUGCAGUUAAAAAGCUCGUAGUUGAAUUUCGGGAUCGAUAUAUCGGUCGUGCCUCGGUACGUACUGGUAUUUUCGGUUUCUCCCUUCUGACGAACCUUGAUGUCAUUAAUUUGGUGUCUUGGGGAAUCAGGACUGUUACUUUGAAAAAUUAGAGUGUUUAAAGCAGGCUCACGCUUGAAUACAUUAGCAUGGAAUAAUGAAAUAGGACGUUUGAUUCUAUUUUGUUGGUUUCUAGGAUCGACGUAAUGAUUAAUAGGGAUAGUUGGGGGCAUUAGUAUUCAAUUGUCAGAGGUGAAAUUCUUGGAUUUAUUGAAGACUAACUACUGCGAAAAGCAUUUGCCAAGGAUGUUUUCAUUAAUACAAGAACGAAAGUUAGGGGAUCGAAGACGAUCAGAUACCGUCGUAG